ACGCGCAGGCGCGGGCCCGGCGCUCCCUGAGGCGGCGGCGGCGGCUCCGGCGGCUCCUUUGUUCCCCCUACCGGGACCGGGUUCGGGAUCGCGUCGGGAUCGGGUCGGGAUGAGCCUUGGGAAGGGCUCCGGGAAGGGCUCCGGCUCCGCCUGGCGUUAGGAGCUCGAGGACUGCCAUGCCCUUAGGUGCCCAGCCCCCACCCCUGAUGUGAGAUGGCCACCCCGGG